rnacentral:tRNA from 1 species
GGAGAGGUGCCAGAGAGGUCGAACGGGGCAGUCUUGAAAACUGCUAGGCUCGCAAGGGUCUCGAGGGUUCGAAUCCCUCCCUCUCCG